rnacentral:rRNA from 2 species
AAGUCCGGGAGCGGCAGCGGGAAGUAGAUGCAGUCGAGCGGCANCGGGAAGUAGCUUGCUACUUUGCCGGCGAGCGGCGGACGGGUGAGUAAUGUCUGGGAAACUGCCUGAUGGAGGGGGAUAACUACUGGAAACGGUAGCUAAUACCGCAUGACCUCGAAAGAGCAAAGUGGGGGAUCUUCGGACCUCACGCCAUCGGAUGUGCCCAGAUGGGAUUAGCUAGUAGGUGAGGUAAUGGCUCACCUAGGCGACGAUCCCUAGCUGGUCUGAGAGGAUGACCAGCCACACUGGAACUGAGACACGGUCCAGACUCCUACGGGAGGCAGCAGUGGGGAAUAUUGCACAAUGGGCGCAAGCCUGAUGCAGCCAUGCCGCGUGUGUGAAGAAGGCCUUAGGGUUGUAAAGCACUUUCAGCGAGGAGGAAGGCAUCAYACUUAAUACGUGUGGUGAUUGACGUUACUCGCAGAAGAAGCACCGGCUAACUCCGUGCCAGCAGCCGCGGUAAUACGGAGGGUGCAAGCGUUAAUCGGAAUUACUGGGCGUAAAGCGCACGCAGGCGGUUUGUUAAGUCAGAUGUGAAAUCCCCGAGCUUAACUUGGGAACUGCAUUUGAAACUGGCAAGCUAGAGUCUUGUAGAGGGGGGUAGAAUUCCAGGUGUAGCGGUGAAAUGCGUAGAGAUCUGGAGGAAUACCG